rnacentral:tRNA from 1 species
ACCAGCAUGGCAUAGUGGUUUGAGUGUUCGACUACAAUUCUGGAGACCAGGGUUCGAUUCCUAGCUCAGCCA